AGCGAACGCUGGCGGCAGGCUUAACACAUGCAAGUCGAACGGGCUUCUUCGGAAGUCAGUGGCAGACGGGUGAGUAACACGUGGGAACGUGCCCUUCGGUUCGGAAUAACUCAGGGAAACUUGAGCUAAUACCGGAUGCGCCCUUAUGGGGAAAGGUUUACUGCCGAAGGAUCGGCCCGCGUCUGAUUAGCUUGUUGGUGGGGUAACGGCCUACCAAGGCGACGAUCAGUAGCUGGUCUGAGAGGAUGAUCAGCCACACUGGGACUGAGACACGGCCCAGACUCCUACGGGAGGCAGCAGUGGGGAAUAUUGGACAAUGGGCGCAAGCCUGAUCCAGCCAUGCCGCGUGAGUGAUGAAGGCCUUAGGGUUGUAAAGCUCUUUUGUCCGGGACGAUAAUGACGGUACCGGAAGAAUAAGCCCCGGCUAACUUCGUGCCAGCAGCCGCGGUAAUACGAGGGGGGCUAGCGUUGCUCGGAAUCACUGGGCGUAAAGGGCGCGUAGGCGGCCGAUUAAGUCGGGGGUGAAAGCCUGUGGCUCAGCCACAGAAUUGCCUUCGAUACUGGUUGGCUUGAGACCGGAAGAGGACAGCGGAACUGCGAGUGUAGAGGUGAAAUUCGUAGAUAUUCGCAAGAACACCAGUGGCGAAGGCGGCUGUCUGGUCCGGUUCUGACGCUGAGGCGCGAAAGCGUGGGGAGCAAACAGG
rnacentral:rRNA from 1 species